rnacentral:lncRNA from 1 species
UGCCCAUCGGAUUUGCGGUGUUCAUGGUUCACCUGGCAACAAUUCCCAUCACCGGCACCGGUAUCAACCCGGCUAGAAGCUUCGGAGCUGCUGUCAUCUAUAACAACGACAAGGCCUGGGAUGACCAUGUAUGUCCUCCUCCUCCCUGAGUCCCCACUGUACGUAUAUAAUACUCUAGUUUUGAUGAUUUUUUAUUUAUUUAUUUUUAUUUUUUGAUACAGUGGAUGUUCUGGGUCGGACCAUUCAUUGGAGCUGCCAUUGCUGCAUUCUACCACCAGUAUAUUCUGAGAGCAGCGGCCAUUAAAGCUCUAGGAUCUUUCAGGAGCAAUGCCUAGGUUUUGGACGCUAGCUGGUGAUGGUGAUGGUGAUGGUUUCUGCAACAAGAAUAACAUCAAUGGUGGAGGAGUAUUAGUACAUGCAAAUCGGUCUCAAUCUCUUUCCAGUGUUUUUUCUCUUCUAUCUGCCCCCUCUCUCUCCCUCUCUCCCUCUCUCCCUCCCUUGGAACCAUGGAAUUGUAGAUAAAUUUGGCUUUUAUCUGGCCAUGUCUCUUUAAAUAUAUUUCAAGUGCUGUAUGUUGUCAUCUUUUUUCUUUUCCCUCCUCUCUCUCUCUCUUUCUACUUGGUGUAUUCAUAAUGAUGCUUCCACAUUAUUCUAGUAAAUGGCUAUGCUCCUCAAUCUCCAUCACCCCUUUCCUUUUUCCCUUCUUUUUCGCUUGGAAUGGUGUCAUCUUCAUGCUUCCAUCUUAAGGUAGCUCUACUCUAGGUCGUUUUAGUGGAAAGAAGGAUCACAAUAUUUUAGAUCGAAAUCAAGAUGAUACCAAGACAUAAAUUUUUAAAAAGUUGGAGGGCAAUAAUGACUUGUUUUUUAUUCAAGAACCCUAUCUGAUAAGAUCAACAACUCUUGUGAUAAAGCAUCUUUAAUUUUCUAAUGUACUAACUAGUCAAUGGGACUUUGUUAACUUUAAAAUGAUCUUCUACCAGACUAGAUAGCAAGAAGGAACUUUUCAUUAACCAUCACUUGAAUCCGAAAAAUUGCAUAACAAAAUCUUUGAUCAUGUUUCUUCAACUGUUUCCAUUAAAGAAUUCAUUCAAAAACUUCAGAUUACUCUUGCAUUGAAUUGAAGAACACUUCGAUCAACAAAAAAGUUUAGACAGGUGUCUCCUCACACUGCUCAUCAUACCUUCAGCCCUCUUUAUGACUAUGGACAUCAUUUUCACUAAGCAGCAAUACUUGUUUUAUUUUCCCAACUUUUUUAUUGCUUCAUUCUAAGCAUUCUUAUCCUCAAUCCAUUUAACUACUAUAUGAUCACCAGUUUAAUUAAUAUAGAAGUAGAAAGUGAAAGCCAAAAAUGAUGGUAGGGUUGGCUUUUGUGGUGGUGGAUUCUUGGCAGUGAGAUGAUGGAUUUGAUUCUUUAUUAGUAGUUGCCGAGAGGAAACAAUAAAGAAAAGAGAGGGGAAAAUGAAGAGAUUAUAAAAUAAGUAUUAGGUCAAUAAGGGCUUGGGAUUCCAUGGUCUAAUUAUCAACCUUAUCUCUGUCUUUAUUUUAUGACUUUAAGGGUCAUUUUGUAGGGCAGAGUAGGUGGAGAUAUAGCUGUUUGAUGCAUGACACACUUUUUGGCUUAAAUUAUGGGGGAGUUGAGAGGUGGGGUUUUUGCUAUUUGGGCUUACAUAAUGGGAGAGAGACGUUUUGGCUGAUUUCUAAUGCCCUAGUCUUCAUUCUCUGCAUUUUCUCAUUCCAUUGUACACGCCAUCUCUCUGUAGCUUCUUAAAGCUAAUAAAAGUAAUGUUAAGUUUUUUCUCAUUUUAAUUUUUCUAUAAUAUUUAUUUGUAUUGGGAAGUAGGCUGAAAAACAUAAGUUUGAUUUUCCUUUUUUUUUUUUUUAAAAAAAAAAAGAAAGAAAUCAAAAAAUUAUUUCUUCAAACAAGAUUGUAUCAAUAUUGUUGAUUUAGUAAAGGAUUACAUAAACAAUAAUGGAAGUUUGAUGACUUUGAUCCUGUCUUCAUUUGUUCUUUUUAUUAGAAUGUAUAUUGUUUAAAAUUUAAAAUUUCCAUAAUAAUCCAUUUAGAAAUAAUUUUGAAAGGGAUUAAGAGUCAGUUUAAUAGUAUUUUUUCCUCAAAACAUUUUUUAGUGAGUGUUUGAAAGGGAUUAAAAGUGUGUUUAAUAGUAUUUUUAUGAAAAUUAUCUAUAAAGUGUUUUUUCAAAAAAUAUUAUAAGUGAUUAUUCAAUACUAUAAGAGUAAGUAUGAUAUUGAUUCUAAAAAACAUUUCUAACUUUUCAAACACUUGAAUGAUAAAAAAUUUUAAAUAUUAAAAAUGUUAGAAACGCUUCUUGAAAUUACUGUCAAAUAGGCUUUAAGUGAUUUUCCAAAUUUUGAAAACUGUUUUUUAAAAUUUAUCAAAUACCUUUUUUUCGUUUUAAAAAAGAAAACACUUUUCAGACGAAACAUUUUUAGAAAUCAUUAUCAAACAGACUCUAAAAAUAUAUUGUGUUUAAUAAAAUUUUUGAAAAUCACUUUUAAAAUUUUUGAUAAUCAUGUAAAUACUUUUUAUCAUAUAACAAAUUACUAAAAAUGUUAUCAAAACACAUUUAAAAUUUACAUAUGAUUUUUCUUAAAAGCGUUUCUAAUAUGAUUAAAGUGUUAUAGAUUUUUCUUCAAACCAUUCCCAAAUGGGCUGUAGAUCGAAUGAAGAAGCCUUUGCUAAGUUUUGAUUUAAAAAAUAUCAUGAAUUCAGAAACAUAACAUAAGUAAAAUAAGAACAUGAUUUAAAAAGUAAUAAGAAAAGAUAUUUUCAUUCUUAAACAAUUCAUUUUCUUUUCAAACUAGUUACGAAGAUGGUUGAAAUUCUUUAACAAUCUCCCUAAUUAUAAAAAAAAAAAAAAGAAGGAAGAAAAGUGAUUCUAAGGGUUUUCAUGUAGGAGAGCCACAAUUAGAACUACACGAAUGUUAACUUGAUUAACCAUAGGAUUAAAUGUCUCAAUAAAGUCAAAACCAACAAGUUGAUUGUAGUCUUUGGCAACUAGUCUAGCCUUAUAUUGAAAGACAAAACCAUGAACAUUUCUUUUGAUUUUAAAGAUCCAUUUGCAACUUAUAAGCUUUCUAUUUAAAGGAGGAGAAAUUGGGGUCUAUAUGUUAUUCUUGUUGAGAGCAGUGAACUCUUCUUCCAUGGUUUGUUUCCAUUUCACAUUUGAUAAGGUUGCAGCAACAGUGGAUGGUUCUACAUCCUCAUUCAUAGAAGCAAUGGGAACUUUGGGUCUAAAAAUGCCUACCUUGGCCCAAGUAACCAUGAGAUGAGUAUUGGUAUGAGUAAGGCCACAUGAGGCCUGAUCAACUGGUGCAAGGGUUGAAGAAUGAGAUGGUAAGAAUUUAAAUUCAGGAAUAGAAGAUAAGAAGAUGUAUUAAGGGAAGAAUCAAUAGAACGGAUAGAUAGAGAUAGAAUUGAAGGUGGAAUAAGAGGAGGGGCAAAAGGUAGAAAGAAGACAGUUGGUUGUAGAUUAAUAGAUAGAAAAUGAGAUAAAGAGGGAAUGCUCUAAAACUGAAAAACAGUUUCAUUGAAAGUAACAUACUUGGAGAUAUAUACUCGACCAUUGGAGGUAAGACAUUUGUAGCCUUUAUGGGAAGGACUAUAACCAAGGAAAGCACGAGAGAGAGAUUUGUACUCAAGUUUGUGACUGUUGUAAGGUUGAAUGUAAGAGAAACAUUGACCACCAAAGAACUUGAACUCAAGAGUAGUUAGUUGAACUUUAAAGAGGACUUCUAAUGGACUUCCGUUGUUAAGAAUAGAAAUGGGAAGCUGAUUAAUGAUGUGAACAGUAGUAGUGAAAGUUGCAUCCUAAUAUUGAAUUGGGAAGUUGGCUUGAGCAACGAAAGAGAGACUUUUUCCAACAAUGUCUCCAUAUUUCCUUUCUGCAACACCAUUUUGUUCAAGGGUAUGGGAGCAUGAGAGUUGAUGAACAACUCCAAAAUUAUGAAAUGGUGAAGUAAGAGAAUGAAAUUCUCCACCCUAAUUUGUUCUAAGAGUUUUUAAUUUUCAAUUAGGAUGAAGUUUUGCUUGUGUUUUGAAAUUAUGAAAAUUUGAAUACACUUCAGAUUUAGCUUUAAGGAAGUAAAGCCAUGUGAAUCUUGAAUAAACAUCUAUAAAUCUCACAUAAUAUUGAAAACCAUUAUGAGAGGGUGAGAGCAAGGACCCAAACAUUUAAGUGAACAAACUCUAAUGGAGUGUUAUGAGCAAAAUUUGAAGUUGGAAAAAGUAACUUGUGGCUUUUGCCCAAUUGAUAAUUAAGCUAUAUAAAAUGAAAAAUUCUCAUUACUAGAAAAUUUUCUUUUGCAUUGAUUCAAGAGAAUUGUGACAAUCUUAUAACUUGGAUGACCAAGUCUUUGAUAAGCUAUGUAAAAUGAAAAAUUCUCAUUACUAGAAAAUUUUCUUUUACAUUGAUUCAAGAGAAUUUUGACAAUCUUAUCAGUUGGAUGACCAAGUCUUUGAUACCUAAGAUCAAGGUUAGACAUUGAGCUUUGAUUACAAUGAAUUGAAUUGAAAUUUGAACUAGAACAUAAGUUGGUUGUUUACUAUAAACCUUGGAGACUGAAGGGUGUUGGAGAACCGAUUUGUUGAAGAUGAAGCUAGAGUAUGAUGACACCUAGUUGGACUGGUGAAAGACUGACUUGAAGGAUAUGAGAGUCUUGGAAGAUGAAAUUGAUAAAGUCCAUUCUUAAGAGUUCCUUUGAGUACAAUGGCUCUAAUAACCACAUCCUUUACCAAAUAAAGAGAAUAGUGAAAUUCAAAGUAAACUCCAUUAUCCUUGGCAAAUUUUGAGACACUAAUGAGAUUUUUAGCUAUUUUUGGAACGUAAGAAGCUUCUUAAAAUGAAGAAUUUAAAAGAAUGAAGACUUGAAAAAAAUAGAAUGUCUAACAUGAGAAAUAACCAAACUCGUACCAUCACCCAUAUGCAGCUUAUUAGGGCCAUGAUAAUCAACUCCUACGCUUAGGUUGUUGAAUUCAUUUGUGACAUGAUUGUUACACCAGUGUCUAGAAACCAAGCCUCAUCAUCUUGAGUGUUUGGUGUUGUAGGCAUAGCUUGCAUUGCUAGAGGAUCCUAAGAUGGUAGUGCCAGUAUGUGAAUUUAAGGGGUAACCGGAAAUACCAGUAAAGAAUGGGUUAAAACAAUGGUAACAUUUGAGAACAGUGUGAUCCAUUUUCCUAUAGAGUUGACAUUGAGGCUUAUUAAUACUUCUAUCACCAUAUCCUCAACCUUUGCCUCAUGUACCACUAUGAAACUUGGUGCAUGAAUUACCAUGAAUUUGUGAGUUCUAUAAUGAAUUUCUCUAAUCAAGAUGAGUGAAUUCCUUUUAUGGAUUCUUAACAGGUGACCUCAGUUGUUGGGACGAUAUUAGAGGCAUUGGUAUUAUAGUGCUCAAGCCAUUUUUCAUGUGUAAGCAACAAUGCAAUUACAUGAGUCAGUUUGUGGACAUUCUUAUAUGUGAUUUGCUUAAUGAUGGAUUCAUAAUCAUGGCCUAAUCCAUCGGUAAUAGCUAGUAUCUAAUCUCUUAUGGAAAGAAUAUCACAAACCAAGGCAAAUGAAUCCAUAAUGGUCUUCAUUUUGUUCAAAUAAUCUCUCAUAGCUAAACUACCUUCUGUAAUUCAAAUAUGAAUUGCAUUAAAUGAGCUCGGUUUUGAGUCAAGGUAGCUCAAAUCUCAUGAGAAGUAGUGCAUCCAACCAAUUGGGAAGGAUACUUAUGGAAAUUGAGCCAAGAAGCCAAGAGACGGUCAACAUAUCUUAACAUUGCCACAAUUCAUAAUCUAGGUUGAGGACAGAAAAGGGUGCCUAAAGUAAAACCAUCAAACCCUAAUCACGAAUUACAACAUAGAUUUGUUGUUUUCUAAGAAGAAAGUUAUCCUCAUCAAGCUUCAUUGCAAUUGGCAAUGUGGUUGGAUUCAUCACUUGAAUCAACGAAGAUGAUGAACCAAAAAGUGUUGAUAUAAUCAUUUUAUUGAACAGUGAUAUCGGAGUGAAGUCUAAUAGCUCUGAUACCGUGAAGAGAAAUGAUAGCAUGAGAGAAAUCUGAGUUGCCCUUAUUUUAUUCCUUUUUGUGUUAUACUUGGUACAAAGAUAUUUUUAUAUACCUAUAAUCACACUAGCAUUAGUGUUUCUUAAAAUACAAAAAACAAACAAACAAAACAAAACAAAACAUGAUUAUGCAAAAAGAGACACUUUGCUACUUUAGCACCCUCAUUACACAGCUUUUAUGUAGGCGCAACCCACAAUUGGCAUGGUCUUCAGCGUCAAAUUCCUAAUCGCUACUAACUUCUACAUUUCUGUUUUCAUGAUCUUCAUUAAGUUCAGGAAGGUUAAGAAUUAGGGAACGAGACCUUUUCAAAGGACAUAAGAAGUAUGUACUCUCCUUUUCCAUCUUCUUCAGAAUGUAUAGGAAAAGGAUGUCACCAAGGGCCAAGAUCUAAGUGUUGUUGGUGAUUAAUGACACUUGGGUUAACCUUGCACAGAUGGAGUUGAAAAAAAUGGAGGAACAUGCGUCUUGGGAGGUGAAAUGGGAAACACAAGCUGGCUUGAAAGUGGGUAUGGUGCAGGGUGGUCUUGCUAUGGUUACCUACGGGGAAAUUCGAUUUCUCAUAGUGGGGUAACAAACAGAUAUGAACUCUCCAUCUACCCAAUAUAUAAACUUAAACAUGUCCUCCGGAUCGUUAAGGUUUCUUGAAUCUGCCAUGGAUGCAGAAAAAAUGGUACCCUCGGGAAUUUAGGAAAGAAAAAUAGGAAGUCAAGAACAAAUUGCAGAAAAUUUCCUAAUACCUAUUUUAUUGGUAAAAGCAAAACUUAAAAAGGUACCCUCCAGCCCUUAGAAGAAAUAGGAUUCCUCCAUUCCUCCAUUCCUCCAUUCACAUAGGGACGGGUCCACAUUUCCUAGUGGGAUUCUUUGAAAGCCCAUCAUAUUCACAUGGGCUUUGUUGAAAGGGUAUGGACCAUGGAAUCAUGGACUAAUGACACGAAAAGAACAGAGAAUCAUCUCUGUCCUCCCCUGUUUACACACACAGACAAGUCUUGUGAUUUGGGAGGUGGUGCUCUGGUAAAACAUGUGAAGCCCAAAGGGCCCAUUAACUCGGACAAGGAUCCUGUGCAAAUCAUAAAUGGGCCUUCCCACAUGAAGGAUAGGUCACCAUCUGAAUGAAAAAGCAAACAAGUGGAAUAUGAUAAGGAAGAAAGCGUGAGCAAGACACAUAAUUUUAAUGUAAAAUGUAGAGGAAAAGAAUUGCAUUGAUUUCAGGUUUGGCAUGCGCCUCCCCCUCUGCAAUAAUGUCCCCAAGGCAGGUGAGGAAAUACAUACACUCCAUUAUAAUAAUUACACUCAUCAAAUUUAUAUAUGUGUAUAUAUAUAUAUAUAUAUAGAGAGAGAGAGAGAGAGAGAGAGAAAGGGAGAUAUGCCCUUUGCUGAUCCUUGAAGCCAAGCAAAAGUGAAAACGCUUCAUGCUUCCAUUACUUAGAACCAUUAACAAAGGCAACAACACAUAAAAACAAGGCCGCUCUUCCAAUUCUGCACUCACUUAUUGAUGGGGAUAUAAUUUAACACGGCAAUGGAGAAUAGAAGACAUGAGUUUGAGGGCCAACAUAAUCAAUAAGCUUAUGAGGAGGAUUAAUCAUAAUAAGUGACAAUCAUACCUUGGUAACUUCAUCUCACUUCCUUCACUGCAGCUUUUUGCUUAACCAGGUGUCCCAUAUGGGAUUGAGCAAGUGCUAAAAAAUGAACCUUAGAAAGGGCAUUUUGGGGUGACCAACAUUGGCAGAGAACACAUUCCCAUCAUUUUGUUCCCUCUUGAAUUCAACUCCAAGGAACAAGCACUUCCCAAGGCAUUAUAAAAGCCAGUUCAAAGCCCCCAAAAUUUCAACACUCAAAAGCUCUUGCUUCUUUAGCCUCAAGUUAUUCAAAAGCAAAAGAAGUGAACAACAUGAAUCCAGCGGCUUCUUUCCUGCUCUUCUUUUCUCUUGCCCUUCUCUCCUUAGCUAGAGCUCAAGGAAGAGCACCCCAUGGGCUUGCUUAUGAGAACCCGAUGGCUUUCUCGCCAUCUGCAUUUGAUUUCUUCCAUCCGAACGGCCAAAAACCAAGCACCCAAAACCCUUGUGCUGCAUCAAACUGCUCACCAUUGCCUAUGGCAGCGCAGGUGGAAGCCAGUCUAGCGCAUCAAAGCAAAGCAUCAAGCAACCGGGUGGGAGCUGGAGGAAUUGCGGGCAUUGUGUUUGGGUUUGUGUUUGCUGUGCUUUUGGCAAUGGGUGUUUACUAUGUGGCGGUCACACGUCGAGCCAAUUUGACCCGAGCCAACUCUGUUCAGCCUGAUGCUUGAUUUACCUACUAUAAGCCACUGACAGCAAGCACCCAGGAUCAUUCCACAGUGAUAUGAUCUUCUUGUUCUCUUUUAUUUUUUGUAUUUUUCCCAAUUUGGGGUAAGAAAUGUUGUAUUUAUCAUCUUGUUACCAAUUAGCUACAUGGUAUUGUACUAUUAGAACUCUUGGCCAAAGCGAUUAUCAAACCAUCCAUCUUUAGGAGGGGAUAACAAAUGAAUUCUAUCACAGCCAUGGAGGGGGCAACAGGUUAUUGAGAUAAAACUACAUAUAUAUAUAUAUAUAAAAGGAAAUAAAGAUGUAAAAAGAAUCACAAGAGAAGAACAGACUUAAGUUCGAACAGUCAUGAUAAUCAUCAAUACUAAAAAUUGGAACAGAACUAAAGAUACCCAAUGCAGGAAAAGUCUCCUUUUGGAGCUUAUCUGGCAUUAUAAGUCAGCCAAACACUUCAAUAUGCCCUUUUUCCACCUUCUAAAUUGCAUCCACAACACAUGUUCUGAACAACAAGCCUUUUGUUCCGAAGCAUUUUAUUUUCUUCAUGUUUCUUGGACUACAUCACGAUCAUAGAGGUUUAAUGCAAACAAGGUCAGUAACUGAAAGUUCUGACAUUGAACCCCUAUAGAAGCAUUAUUAUUAAAGAGAGCUUCCAUUGUUAGAAUCCGAGGUUUUAUUCAUUUGUAACAGGCAUGACAUAAGGGGUUUUACUUCCUCCACAAUCCAUGAUAUAACAGAAUUAGAAAUUAAUCUCUUUAUGGUUAUAUCAAGGUGUCGAAUUUUGACCCAACAGUUUUUUAGUAGAGUUCCUUAAAGCAAGAAAGUUUAGAGAGCGCGCAAAAGGAUGGUGUAGAUAAAAAAGAGGCCCAACCAAGGGAUUUAUUUACUUCUAAGUCAGGCUGAACCAAAUUUUCCUAAUCAUAAUAUUUUUUGCAAAUACUUAAUUGGAAAAGAACACUAACUCAGGUUGAAAGCUAUCAUUGGUUAGUCCUAAACAGCCACAAGCCGGCUCUUAUCAAAAGGAGUCUCCCCAUUCAUACAUACAGUUCAACCAUGAACAUUUGAAAAGAAAAAUACAUGCCAAGAAAAGAAAAACCUAGGUGGAUCAUAUUUGCUGGGUUUGCAAAAUACGGCCAAAUUCUAAGGUUACAUACCAUAUAGAGAAAUUGCUAUCAUAUAAUCAUCAAGCAUCUUCCAGAGAUGGACAGAAAAACAGAAUGUGGGCUGUGUAUUAUGUGGGGUUAUUAUAAGGUGGCUGCUGUCUAAGGAUGAAUCCCUCAAAUAAUUCAGAAGAUUUAUAAGAUAAAAAUGGGGGAGCAAUUCACUUGUAUAAAGUAGAAAUAUAUUGGAAGUGAACUUAUUUGUACAUUUCUACCACCGAUACAAGCUAAGAGCUUCAGGUUGCAGGAAUAGAAAGGAAGUUCACAUAUCGGCAGUAAGAUUAUUCAAAACAUUUCUACCAUCCACGUGAACUAAGAGCUGCAAUGACAGGUCCCAGUGUCUUGUCCACAGUCUUGUUCCAUAGGUGGGCGAACUCCAAACGAGAUUUCUUUCCAAAUAUGGGCUCUGUUUUCUGGAAUAAGUUUGACAAAAAUAAAAACUAUUAGGCCAUGUUUUGACAAUGAGUAAUUCAAAGAAAAUGGAUCCAUGAGAAUGGAGAAGCUUAAAGAGACGUAAUGCUAUCAUAUGGUACACUCAAAGGGGGGAAAAAGUGUAUCUUCCAUUUGUUGACAAAGUAAAAGUCAAUGGCACCUGUUAUCAUGAGAAGUUAAAUCAAAACCGAUACAUAGAUCAAAAUUACACCUAUGUGCUAAUCCUCAGUUAAACACCACUACCAUAGAAUUUCAAUGCAAUCAAAUAUGAAUAAGGUACAGGCACAAAUAAUAAGUGCUGCACUUUGAUGCAGGUAUGGGGAUGCUCGACAUGGUUUACACCACAGAUUGUAGCAGGAAGGACUUUAUUCCCAUGCUCAUAUUUCAGCCCACCUAAAUUCCCCAAACCUCACUUGACCACAAGAUGCUUAAUUACAUGUACAAACCUGGGUCUUCCAGGGAUAUGUAGAUGCACAUACAUCCAGCUACCUUGUUGUCAUUCUUGCUCAUGAAAAGGUUGUCAAAUUUGAGAAAUUUGCAUUUUUAAAAGAUAAGAUAUUAGAUCCUCCUGGACAUAGUCCCUGGUGAUGUUCCACGAACUAGAUUGAGAAAGUAUGACUUCCUUUCUCAGAAAUGAACUCCUCACAAAAAUAGUUCUCAGUAACUCAUUUCUACAAUUCUUAAUCAAGAGGCUGUUGGUCAAAGCUGCAAGUUCUUCUGGCAGGUAAGAUACAGGCUGUGGGUCUAGUUCUGCAAAUCGGGAUGUGAUAAAGGGAAACUGAAAGAAUUUAGAAUGAUAAAUGAGGGCAUUUGUUAAGCAUCAUUUGAAGGAUGCAGCACAGCAAUGUGAUUAGUACAGAGAUUUGCAGCAGAAAAUGAAGAAAAGCAAAUGCCUUGAGAAACUCAACAGAAUAAGGUUUACACAAGACCACUCAUAUUUCACAAUCAAGGGCAACACAAGUAAAACAUUCCAGUGGGAUUCAUUAGGCAAAGCAAAGCCACCUGACCACCAGCAUGUCAAAGACUGCCCAGCCUUUUUAUUUUCUUGGUAAAUGUAGGCAAAGCACAUGGCUGAUCUUUCAACAGAAUUUCAUCUAAGUACUAGUAUCCACCAAGAGAACCCACUGCAUUUGGUAAAGUGGGCAACUGUGUCCUCAGCAAAACAGUAUGGAGUUUUGUUAAUUCAGAAUUUCCUAAUUCUGAAUAAGGCUUGGUUGGGUAAAUGGUUUUGAAGAUGGCAUUCUGAGGUGGGAAGGGGCAAUAGCCUCAGGUUUUUGGAAAGCUAUUCAAAGAGGGUGGGAAGAUUUUUUUUUCCCCCGACUUAUAUUCCUGUGGAUAAAAGGCCUAAGUUUUGGUGUGAUAUUUAGUGUGGGAGCACCAUAUUUAAAGAUCAUUUUUGGGAUCUUUUUUUCCAUCAAUUUAAACAAAAAUAUCCUGGUGGCAAAUUAUUGACAAAGGGAAGGUAGGAGUGACCAUAGGAAUCCAAGGUUCAUCAGGAGAUUUUAUGAUUGAAUUGAAAGAGGUGGAAUCCUUUUUUGUUUGUCUUCAGAAUGUGAUUAUGCAUGAAGAUAAGGAGGAUAAGUUAGCCUGGAAGUAAGCAAAAGAUGGAAGAUUUUUCCUGAAAUAAUUUCAUUACAUUUUAAGUGCAUAUUGUUAUAACUCUUUCCCACAUUGAAGGGUUUGACACCUCACUUGCAACCCCCAUAAAGUUGGUUUCUUUGAUUGAUAAGCAAUCUAGAAAAACAUUCUAACUUUGGACCAGAUUAUGCAACGGGAAGGGUUUUAGCCAAUUGUUGUCAUUUGUGCCAGCAGGAAGAAACUACUUGCCCAUCACAUAUUGGCACAGAGUUAUGGUCUUUAUUAUUCACAACUUUUGGCAUCACUUGGGCAUUUCUUGAGACAGAUAAGGAUACAUUAAUCAGUAGGUGCAGAGAGAUGGUGAGGAAAGGGAAAGGGAAGAUAUGUUUAUUUUGGUGUAAUUGGAAGGAAUACAAGAGGAGGGUCUUUGAUGGUUUGGAUUGUCUGAAAUUGCAGCUGAAAAAAGUCAGUAGGACAUGGAAGCCUUCUAUUAUAAAUUUGAUUGAUGUUUUGGGUAGUACUUUAAGAGUGAAGAGUCUGUUCCUUUUUCUUAUCUUUUGUCUUUAUGGUCUCUGUAUGCAUCAUGUGUACAUGGGGGGGUGUGUCUCCUUUUUGAUGCUUACUAUAUAAAAAUUUUACUUAUCAAUAAAAGAAAAAGUCUUACAGCUCAAGGGAGCAAACCAAACAGCUUUCUAAUCUUAUAAAUAAAAUAAUUCUCCAAUUAAGUCUCUCCAACAGUAAGCUUUUCAAUAUAUCAUUCAUGACCGUGUUUCUAACUUUUCAUAGAACCAAACAAUUAUAUAAGCCAUCCAAUAUAAUUUCUUUUGUUCCAUCACAAUUUAUAAUCAAAGGAAUAAAUGAAAAAAAAAAAGAUGUCAACUUCUCUAUGCUUUUUUCCCACACAAAUAGCACUGCCAAACAUGUAGAAAGAGGUGGAACCCUAAUAGUCAAGAAUAAACGGGACAGGACACAAUUCUUCUGCACUUUCUAAUUCAAUAUUUCUCGAGAACAAAUGCCUACCAAAAAAAAAAUCUCAAGAACAAAUUGAAUGUCAAUCUUCUUCCAAACAUGGCUUUUUUUGUUGAUAAAUAAGAGAGUGCAUUAAAAAGUGCAACUAGUGCACAAGAGUACACAAAACGUAUACAAUAAGCACUAAAAGGCAAAACAAAAAUAUACUCCCUCCCUCAACAGGAACCCAACCAAUCUAUUAAAUGGCUAUCGAUCUACACUGAAGCUACAAACGAACAAGUUACCUUUAAAAUGUUUUAUUUCCUUUCAUGAUUGUGGUAUUUAUAGGCAUAAAAUACUAUUAAAAGAUCACUUAUCAUUUAGCCAUGGGCAAUCAAAUUCAUGUAUAAUCAUAUUGAGGUCAAUUCAAAAACCUCAAACCCCACUACUUGGUACCAACAACAUGAAUACCUCUUCAAUAAGCAGCUAUAUCUACAACUAUAUAAUCAAAUUACAUAACAUAACAGGCAAUCAAGUACUGACUCGCCAUCACUGUUUUCAGAAGUCUUCUUCAUAUUCUUACUUGAAUCAUUAAUUCGCCUUGAUUACACAUGACUAAACCCUCUUAAUCAAAUUUUUUCUCAUCACAUCUUCCACAUGAGAACAUUCUUUUUUUUAUUUUUUAUCUUUGUUUGUCUUGCAUUACCAUUCAUCCAAGUCAACAUCCUCAUUUUAGCAAUACCCUACUUCUGAACAUGUUAUUUCCUGUCUGCCUAACAUUUGUUAACUUAAAACAUAAAUGGCUGCAGAGCCACCAUAUAGAAUUUUUGGUCUAACUUGAGAGGCAUCCCCAAAUCACAUUAACAGUCUAGACUGACUUCUCUAUUUCAGCCAUCCUGCUUCAGUCAUGCAUACCUGGUUUCUACAUCAGUCAGUCAUAUUUCAGUAAGUUUUUAGCUUGUCUAUAAAGCUUUUAAGAGUUUAUAAAUACGAGUCGUUUGUAUGAAAUGAAACUUUCAAGUUUGAACUUGAAAAUCUGAAACUUUUAGUUGAUUAGAAGGCACGAUAGAAUGACUCUCUAGAUUUCGGUACUGCUUUUCCUUGUCCUCCUACUCUUUCUCCUACUUUCUUCCAAUUCUUAGCACAACUGUAUUUCUCCCUGAACCAAUAACACCUGUCAGCUUUUUUUAUUUCUCAAACCUGAGCCCUAGUUUCACGACCCUAAAUUUCAUCUUCAUGAUUUUUCCCAAGCAUCCAAAUUAAUUACGAACUAGCUGCUGCCCCAACACUCCAGUAACAAAUCCCCCAGAAUCCUAGUAAACAUUUACUUUUAAGGCCUUAUCUUGAACUCUAAAAUUGACUUCAAUCUCUAAAAAAAUCCCAAAACUAUAACCUUUUUAGGGCCAGGCAAAACAAUUGAGAAACCUUUCAAUGUUUAAACGCUUGUAUUAACUUUUCCCCACAUUUUGAUCCUACUAUAGAUCGGAAAUUCAUCUUCAAAACAAAGUUUUGAAAUUUUAAACAUGUAUUCAACCGCAAUGAAUUCGUGAAUACAUAAAAGAAAGAACUUUGAACCAAGUAGCAAAAUUCCCUCUUCUUAUUUGACCUGCCAACACCAAUCCUCUCUCCGCACUUCCCAUCAAGUGCCGCAGAACGCAUCCAAUAUAAACAGUUGCAACUCAGAUAAAAUGAACAAUCGUUUUCUAAUUUUAAGGUAGAAACCCUAAAACAAUAAAUAAAAAAGUCUUAUGUUCUAAUUUCUAGGGUUUGAAGAAUACCAGCGAUUGAGGAUCCAAUUGAGAUUGAGUGUCAGCAAUGGAUUUGUAAAUGCAUUUGCGCUGCUCGAAAACAAUAACUCCUGUGAAUAUGCUUCCCAAUGCUGCACCAAGAAGGCGCUCCUGCAUCCACACCAACACGCCACUAGGUCACAUCACAGAGCAAUGUAGAUUUAUAUAAAUGAAUCAACUGGUUUUCCUCCGAAAGAAAAGAGAUCGACGAUGAACCUGAGCGAGCACGCUGAUCAUGGCUUCUUCGUAAGUUUGGAUUCUUCCUCGGGAAAGUGGGAAAGGUUUCUGUUUUCACCCCAAACACUGCGCAGGGGUUCGAGUUUAUAUUUAUGUUUUCUAUCAUUUAAUUGACAAAAAUGAUGGUUUUACCGUUAUCAUUGUGCUUUAUUUAUUUAGAAAUGUUGGAAUGGACAUUUCUGGCAACCGUCAUUAAAAAUUUUGGAAAAAGUAUAUUUCCAAUUUAAUAAAUAAAAAAAAAUCAAUUAAGACUUCUUAUACUCUCACCUAUUAAAGGAAUUACAUGAUUUUGCAUGAUUUAAAAUUAGUUUUCAAUUAAAGUUAAGAUAAAAAAAGUUAUCCAAUAAGAUAAUGUUAGAAAAGAUAUAUAGUUCCUAAAACGUGUUAAUGCAAUAAUAAUAUCGAGAGUAUAUAUUUUUUAUUUCCUUGAUUAAUCUAAUUUCUUUUAAUUGCUAGGCAAAAUAAUGAGUUUUUGUUGAAAAAACAUCAUUUUCAUCUAAUUGGGUCUAUAUCAUUUCUUAAAUUGAAUAUCAUUUAAUUUCAUUAUCUUGGACAUGGGCGUGAAUGUAGACAUGUAAAUAUAGGCAAGGACAUGGACAUUACGUGGUUGUCAUGGUAGGCAAAGUUCCAAGCAUUGUGGCGAUCAUGGUCGUUCUUCAAAAUUUUUAACUAAAGAAAGUCGUUAGACCAAUAAAAACUCUGAUAACACUUGUUAAGUAUGUGGAAGCUCUAAUAUUACUUGUUGAGAAAAAUCACAACACUCCAAACCAAUAGCAAAAAUAAAGUAAAAUAUAUAAGACAAAAUAUUUACGUUGUUAUCAUCUCCCUUUCAUAGACAUAGGUAAUCACCCAUGUCUAUGAAAAGGAUAUCAAAUUUAUAAGUGAGAGAUAUUUGAUUAAAAGACUUCAAAUAUUAUUAAAAUUGAAAGAAUGAUUUUUUAUUAUUAUUAUUCUUUAAAGAAAACUCCUUUUGGACAAUAUUACAAUUCUUUAUUUCCUCAAAAUGACAUUUAUUUCUCAUUCCGAGUCAUUUGCCUCAUUUUCUUCCAAUGGAUUUUUCCAAAUUCUCAUCAUACUCUCUCCCUUUGAAAUUUCAGAUGAAGUUCAAACCUAAAACAAAGAUAAAUGGACAAAGAUAAGUCACAACUCUUUCAUCCUUCUUUUUUUUUCAAAUCUUUCGUUCUUUUUUUUCUUGUUUUAUGACUUAUUUUUGUAGUCAUUUCAAGUUACCAUUACCAUUGAAAACUUUACCUUCGUCAAGUUUUUUUUUUUAACCAAACUUAACUCUUGUUUAGUUCAAGUGAACAUGAAAUUAACAUUUAUUAAAUUUGUAAUAAAUAAAAUUUAAACAUAAUAAAUAUCUAAAAUGAAAACAAUAAUAAGUUGUUUGAGAUAUAAGAUGGUUAGGAAAAGGAAGAAAAAGUGAAAUGAAGAGAUAGAUGUUCUUUUUUGUGGCAAAUAAGGAAUAUAAUGAAUGAAAUAGGCGGGAAGACAAUGUUUUUUUUUUUUGUGGCAAAUAAAAUAAAAAGGUUAAAAAUGUUCAAAGAUGAUCAUUCCUCCACAAAAUUAAAAGGAAUGAAGGAUCGCUUUUAUAAUUUGAGAGUUAUUUUGACCCAUGUGUUUAAAUAACUCUAUUAAUAAACUUUAAGAAUACAACUUCAAACUCUCCGAGUCUUCCUUUGCCUAAAACUCAAUGUAUUAUUUGUCUAUCUCUCAUUACUUUUUUCCUACUUUUUUUUCUCUCCUUUUGUAAAUCUAUCAUAAAACCAUAUAUUCAUAAAGUCCUAUGUGUUAAUGCUAAAACAAUAGUUUCAUAAUCUCAAUCAAAUUUUAAAAAGUAAGUUACUAUAUUAACUUUUCUAAAAAUGAAAAAUAAAUCAUUUGAACCAAGUCUUAACCAUUAUAUCAUAUCAAUAGAAGUGGAAUAACAAAGCGAAAACACAAGAAGCAAAAAUACUAAAAGACGAGUCUUAUAAAACUAAAUAUUAUAGAUAUGACACAAGGUGCAUGCCUAUCACACAUUAAAAUAUUUAAUCAAACUUUAUCAAGAUGAGUAAAAAGAAAAAUUAACCAUUUGAUUCUAAAUGGGAAUGCCCAUCUAGAUUAAGUGUAACGAUAUCACUUUUAACAUGUUCUUUAUUUUCUCCUUUAUCUUUGAAAUAUUAGACAUUUUUGUUAUGAGUUGCACACAGAUAAUUUCUUUUCAUUAAUUUCCUUUUUUGUUUUAAUAUACAUAAAUUAAUCUUACUAAUUCCUUAGUAAUUUGCAAUAUGAACCUUGUUGAGGAAUGUUUCAUACAUUGUGCAACAACACAAAUUUUUUUAUAUCAAAGAUAUUUCUCAAACUUAAUCGUAAUUGAAACAAAUAUUAAUACGAUACAAGGCUCUACAACACUACAAGGGCUUUUGGAAAAAUGACCAUUGUAUUAAGAAAUUUUGUAUCUAUGAUGCUCUACAUUCUAGUAGAUCUAAAAGAAAUUUAUUUUGUUUUAAAAAUAUACGUCAAUUUGAUACCAUGCAAGAAAAUCAUAUUGGAUAUUUUUGUAUCACUUCUAUACUUUCUAACCAAAAACAUAUCUUACAAAAACUUCUUAUAUGAUCCUAUAAGUUAUAUCAUACCACUAUUACACCUACUAAAAACUUUUAUAGGACAUGGCCAAUUAUGUCAUUCAAGUUUAGGUCUUUGUGAGGUCCUCGACUUCUUAAUUAUAAUAACUUUUUCCUCUCAUUGUUUUGGUAGAAACCUUAAAAUAUUCUUCACCAUUUUUAUUCAAUUUAAACAUUUUCCAAUGAUUAAAGAUCAUUGAUAAUGUUGAUGAACCUAAUAAUUAUUUUAAUAAAAAUGUCAUUAUCUUGCAUAUUAAAUAAUUCGUGAUUUUUUAUUUUUUAACUCAAUUUAUUUAUUUGUGAUCAUCUCAAGCAAUCUUCGUAUUUCUUUUGUCUAUUCUAGUGAGAUUGAAGUAAUCCUAUAUCAAAAGAAGAUAAAAAAGAGAGUUUCCUUAUCCUAUAAAAGAAAGUCCAUCUCCUAUACCAUUCAUCCCCAGAAAGGCUUUUAUUAUUUUGUAAGUUUUUAUAUUAUUUUAUCUUAAUAGAGAUAAAAUGUUGUAAUUUUAUUUUCAUAUGGUGGAUAUUUUUCGCUUAUUCCCCCUCCAACCUUAUAUUAAUCAAUAGUUGAGUAAUAAAUUUAAGUAGUAAAUUUAAUUUGAACAUUCAAUAAUUGAGACAGCUAAAGUGUGAAAUUUAUUCAUUUUAUAAAUUUAAAUUAGCCUUAUAUUAAUCAUAUGACAUUUUUUGAAAAUUUAAGCAUACACAAUAUCUCAUGGAGAUAAAAGUAUAUUGUUUAUAUAGAGAAGUUAAAUUAUCAUUUAAUAAUACAAUUUCACGUGUUAUAGUUUAAACUAUAAAAAAAGUAUUAUCAUAAUUUCUUAUAUAAAAAUGUAUUGACUAUUUUCCAAUCAUUAUUUAUCUCAAAAGUGGGUAUAAAUAUUUAAAAUUUUUCUCAACAAUUACCUUCCAAUAAAUAAAUAAUUGAUAUCAUAUGCUAUGAUUCAGUAAUUUGACUUAACUUCAAAAUUUUAAUUAUAAAAAUGAAAUUAAUUAAAUAGGCUUUUUAUUUAAAAAAAGUUCCAUUUUAAUUUAAAAAAUGAUUUGAUAUGCUUCUUUUAAAUUUGCCAUUUUUAUUACUAUGCUUUUUAUCUUAAUUACCAUAAUUUAAUUAAACUAAUAAAUGAUUUAUAAUUAAAUAUAAUUUAACUAUACAUUAAAAAUAUCUCAUAAAUAGUUAAUAAUAAUGAAAAACUAGUGACUUAUUCAAGUUGAUAACAACAAUUUUUUUCUUUUAUCGAAAAUCAUUUAAUGUGUCUUAACCUUUAUAAUAUUUAACAUAACAAGUGAAGCACACUUACUUAUUAAUUACAUUUAUGAAUUAAAAAUUUGGGAUAUUUCGUUGAAAUAUUGAAUGUAGGUGGUCGAUACGAAAUUGAUCACCAAAGAAGUUUCGGCAAAUGUGAGCUGCAUGCGGGCCUUGCGCUAAGAAAUCAUCAAUUUUUUUAAAAUUGCCAUUUUUUUUUAAAUUCAUGUUUUUUUUUCUGAUUUAUCCUCUAUUUUAAAUUUAUAUCAACUUUUUAUUCAAUAUUAUCCUUUUUAUUUAUAAUUAUUUUUCAUAUUUAUCAUAUUUAAAAAAUUUACGACUACUUCACUUUUAAUUUUUUUUUUAUAUUUAUCCUUUUAAUUUUAUAUAAUUUUAAAUGUUUUUAUUUUAAAAUAUGAAAAAUACAAAUUUAUUAAAAAAUUGUUACAAUAUUUAAAAAAAUCACGAAUUUCUAAUAUUUUAUAAAUUAAAAUUAAUUUAACAAGAUAAAUUAUUAAUAUAAUUUUUAAUAAUUUUAAUUAUUUAAAUACAUUAAUGUUAAUAGUAAAAAGUUUGUCACCAUAGAUUUGUAAUAAAAUUUUAGAAAUUAAAUCUUAAAUAAAAUAUUUUAUAUAAAUUGAUUUAAUUUUUUUAUUUAAAACAUAAUAAAGCAUGUUUUAAUAAAAAUAGUUUAAAAUUUUUAAAACAAAUGAAUAUAAAUAUAUUAAAAUAAUUUAAACUAUUUUUUCUAAAAUAAAUUUGAUGAAUAUUAUCUUUCAUCUUACUUAUAUUAAUUAUACUUACAAAAUAACUUUAAUUGAUGUAUUAUUGCUUAUUUUAUCAUUAUUUAUUUUUUAAGUUUUUUUAAAUAUUUUUUUUGAAUUUUAAAUAAUUUCUUUCAUAUCCAUAUUUUUAUCAAAAUAUCCAUUGAUAUAUUUGUAAAAUCCAAAUAUGUUUAUUAGUAUUUUCAUCAUUGAGUAUAUUUAAAAUUCGUGCAAAUUGAUACAAAAAUUAACUUAAAAUAAUGAGAAUUAUAAAUGAAAGUGUUUUUAAGCAUGAAUUUUUUUUAAUACUUGAAUAAUAAAAUAAUUUUUUAAAAUAUUAAAACGGUUAAAAAUAACCGUGACUCACAAAAAUAGUUUGUUUGUUUUUUUUAACAUUUAAAUAAUAAAAUAAAAUUUUCAAAUAUUAAAAAUGUUAAAAAUCAUGGUGACUUUUCAAGGUGAUGGUAUGUAAGUCUAGCAACUAUUACACAAACAAACGAUGUAUUAAAGGCUCGUGAUGAAUCAUAGGAAUACUUUUUAAGAGUCAAAAGAUUUACAAAUUAAGUACAAUAGCUUAAAGUAGUUGAUCUUUAUAGCAACUAACCAUUGGAAACAAUUUCUCAUCCGUCAACUGUCAUUUAAUGAGAGUUGCAGAUGACUGUUGAUGCUAAGAGUAUGACCGGUCGCCCAAUAAGUAGAUUGUGCUAAAUAGCACAAAUUUUGGGUUUAGGUGAGACCGGUUGGCAGCCCAAGUUCAUGAGUUAGAAAUUUAUGCUCCAAUGCUUUCUCCUUACUUGGUCUUUUUAAGGCUACGUUUGGAUUUGCGAAAAUUUGAGGGAAAGAAAAUAGGGAGGAAGAGCGGAAGAAAGGAGAAAGCAAAGAAAUAUGUUGAACAUUAUAGACUGGUUAGAAUGUGAGAAUAAUUAGUGAAAUAGAAAAAAAGAAAAGGAAAAUGAAGGGUGUUUUUCGAUAUGAACCUGUGGAGGGGAUGCAUGUCUGGAGGUGUAAUGGCGGAGCGGAGGAUGCAUGUGAAGUCUACUGCAAUUUUCCAUCACCCGCUGUUCAUUGACUUUGACACCCCAUCUCAUGUGACCAUCGUUUCUUCCUGCGUCACUGCUGACUCAUGACUCAUGACCCAUGACUCAUAAGUGGUCCCUCUCUCAUUGCCCUGUUUGUAAUUUGUAUACCCACCCCUCUGCACCAAACUCCCCUCCAAACCCCUCUCUUGAUUUUGACGUUUCCUCUGUGCUCACCCUACUUUCACACUUUAGCCCCCUAUCAUUUUUACCCCUCCCUCCUCUUUAGUCUACCUCCAUCUUUCUAUGUCCCCCUCUGCUUGCUAUGUCCCCUCUGUUUGCCUUCUCCAUUUUUUUUCCUUUUUCUUUUGACUAUUAUGAUGGUAGUUUCUUAUGAAUGUCAGUGUGUGUUCCCAUACCCCAAGAGUUCAGAGCUCAGCCUUAUAUGAAGUUGAGAUGAAACGAAAACUCUCUCCCAGUUUCACAAGAAUGAGGCAAAGCCCAUUUAAAUACUUGUGAGUUUUUGUUUCAGGAGUUAUAGGAGGGGAUUGGUUAAUGCAUGGAAUCGUACCAACUUUUCUAGUUUUGAUUGCUUCCAUGCCUCAUUCAUUGCAACUCUGGUAUUUAAGAGUGAGCGAGGUUUUUCAGAUGACACAUAAUAAUUGAAAGAGACCCAGGGAUGCACAAAUAUACUUGUUAAUUGAUUGAAGGAGAAUAACUCUGAUAUGAGGCCGGUGCUUCAGUGAUUCUGGUUGAUUGGCUUUCAGGCAUUUCAGAGAUUCAUAUUCUUUUGUCCUAAUGGAUUCCAUGGAGGGGCAACAGCUAGACCUGCCUUGAUCCUAGCUGAACCCGACGGGUGUUUGUUUGUUUCAAUUUUCAAAGGCUAAAAGAAAAGAAAGAAAAAAAAAAUAUCAUCAAAUCCAUAAUUUUGAUAUUGUGUGUAAUUUCUUUUGCAGUACCUGGAAUGUUCAUGUAUUCCAAGAAGUGAUUUAGAAAAAAUAACAUUUCCCAUCUUAUAGUACAUUGAUUGCCCACCUUAAGUCGUUGGUUGGGCAACCAACCUCUUUACACCACCACAUUUCCUCCUCUACCCAUGCUUUAACCCAAAAAUUUUCAGAUUGAGAAUAGUUGAUGCAGGGGCAGAAAAGUCAGUUUGGACCCCAAUCCAUUGUCCCAGAUGGAAUGAGUAGUGAAGAAGCAAGAAAAUGAAGUGGCAAUCCAUUGCCCCAGAUGGAAUGGCAAGUGAAGAAGCAAGAAAAUAAAGUGGUGUAACAGGGAACAACUGUUGUUUUGCCUCAUUGGAAACAUCUGGUCCUACAUGUAAGAUAUGAGCACAUUAAAUAUGUGCUUGUCUUUGCUGCGUUUAUUGGGGAGUCUUUGUUUCGUCAAUGCCAACCCACAAAAAGAAGGCCUUCUGGUAUGUUGAAAAAAGCAGUUUUGUUGUUCUUAUUUCUCUUCCUUUGAUGGUUCUCUUCGGCGUCGUGAUUUGCAGGCAUGGGCAGGCUUUAAUGGCUACGCACCUCUCUCUCUAU